rnacentral:rRNA from 1 species
UAGGGAAUCUUGGACAAUGGGCGAAAGCCUGAUCCAGCCAUGCCGCGUGAGUGAUGAAGGCCUUAGGGUUGUAAAGCUCUUUCGCCAGGGAAGAUAAUGACGGUACCUGGAUAAGAAGCCCCGGCUAACUUCGUGCCAGCAGCCGCGGUAAUACGACGGGGGCUAGCGUUGUUCGGAAUUACUGGGCGUAAAGCGCACGUAGGCGGCUUUCCAAGUUGGAGGUGAAAUCCCCGGGCUUAACCCGGGAACUGCCUCCAAAACUGAAAGGCUAGAGUCCGAGAGAGGUGAGUGGAAUUUCCAGUGUAGGGGUGAAAUUCGUAGAUAUUGGAAAGAACACCAGUGGCGAAGGCGGCUCACUGGCUCGGUACUGACGCUGAGGUGCGACAGCGUGGGGAGCAAACA